ACAGCAGUAGCCACGGGAAUACGAAGGGUGCAAGCGUUACUCGGAAUUACUGGGCGUAAAGCGUGCGUAGGUGGUGGUUUAAGUCCGUUGUGAAAGCCCUGGCUCAACCUGGGAAUUGCAGUGGAUACUGGGUCACUAGAGUGUGGUAGAGGAUAGUGGAAUUUCCGGUGUAGCAGUGAAAUGCGUAGAGAUCGGAAGGAACAUCUGUGGCGAAGGCGACUAUCUGGGCCAACACUGACACUGAGGCACGAAAGCGUGGGGAGCAAACAGGAUUAGAUACCCCCGUAGUCCCUGUCUCUUAUACA
rnacentral:rRNA from 1 species